CUUGCAGUAGAAGUAUUCCGUCUGACUCUGAUCGAACUUGGAAUUUUUUGGUCUAACUGGGUUUGGGUGCCCUAGCAUUUUAUACCCUUUCUUAAAGGGUCAACGUCCAGAAGAAGACCCUCCCACAAUAUUCACCGACUCCUUUUGGAGCUGGUGAUCCUUCUCAAAGUUUUGCAGCAAUUCCAGCAAAUCGUGGUAGUUAACUGCAGGCUUUGUCAUUCAAAAAUAAGUAAAGAAAGAAAGGUAGGACUUGGGAAGAGAG
rnacentral:lncRNA from 1 species